UAGCUAUCCAGGAAGAUAUAUCUAUAUAUAUAUCUAUAUAUUUAAGAUUUUAUUUAUUUAUUCAUGACAGAGAGACAGAGAGAGCGAGACAGGCAGAGGGAGAAGCAGCUCCAUGCAGGGAGCCCAACGUGGGACUCGAUCCUGGGUCUCCAGAUCACACCCCAGGCUGAAGGCAGGUGCUAAACUGCUGAGCCACCGGGGCUGCCCUAUAUCUAUAUCCAUAUAUUUUUUUUAUUAUUUCCAGACACAGGCUACUGGCAUUUGAAUUUUAGUCCUGCCAGUUGCUUGGUAGCUGACUUGGCCAAGUUACUUAACAACUCUCUGAGUUAAGAGAAUAAAUGUUAUCGACUUUGUGGAAAAUGUUCGAGUUUCAGUGCAGGUAAGGAGUAGAGCCUGGUACGGAGUAAAUCCACGGUGUCUGCUGUUUGGCCCCUGCUGGAUGAGAAGACCACGACUUCUCAUUCUUCUUUUUAUAUUAACUGUUAUGCAGAGGAGGUUCAGGCCUGACGUGAAUAGCUGCUCCUUCUUGCACACUCUGCUGCGGCUUCUGGGCGCUUCUUAGGGAUUGUCACAUUUGCAGCUAACCUCAACCCCUGGGGUUGGCAUUAUCUUUUCCAUUUUGUAGAUGAGGCAGUUGAGACUUAGGGAGGUUCAGGGAGGGAGAUCUGGGGCUGCAGGGCCCCUCCGUGACGCAGGGGCUGGAGGGCUUCCUUCCCCCAAGAUGCGAGCUCAUUGGAGCCCUCCCCGUGCAGCAUCUAGGGCAGGCUCGGAGUACCUGCGCGCUCGUGCACGAAGGUGGCCUGAGCCCCGAAGGUCGCUGGGAUUGCAGAGCUCAGCUUGGUCAGGGGCCCCGCGCCCCGCUGGCUUGCAGCUGGGUGAUGCGUGCAGGUGGUUCAGACCGUCGCGGAUUUACCCUCCAUAGCGCGGCCCGGCGCACUGUUCACCCUGUUCUAGGCGUCCUCGCCCAGCAGGUGGCGCUGCAGGCCCUCCCGAGGCUCCGAGGGGUGAGGCACCUGCACGGACAGCAGGUGUGGGGCGAGAUAGGGCGUGCAAGUGCAAAUGCAACUACUGAAGUCACCCCCCACCCCCCCCCGCCGCAGUCGAGUUCCCACCGGUCAGAGAAAUGCUUCCGAGGCUCAGUCUCGAGUUCCCUUUUGUGGAAAACCUGCCUUAAAUUCAGAGCUUUGAGCUUUUGGUCUUCAAAAGCUCGUCAUUGGCUUUCAAGGAGAGAGGAUCUAGGGAAGCUGCAUACAGGAAUCUUUUGUACUGAAACAGCUUUCAUCAUUGUCUUCCUCAGGCCACAUGGUUCAGCCUGA
rnacentral:lncRNA from 1 species